CCCGGCACCUCCGCUGCAGCAGAGGGGUGGGCACUGGCGCGGGGUGGGCACCCAGUGCGUGCCAUGUCCCAGACUGGAGUGGGAGGGAACAGGAAGGAACAGUGUGUCUGCAGUGAGGAAGGGAACAGGAGCUGCUGGUGCAGGGUGUGGGGUUGCCUAGUGACUGUGCAGCGAGGGGGAUGCUGUGCUGCCGUUGCAGUGCGCCGGGGCUGGGCACUGCCGGGGGCUGCCCGGGGGGUUCCUGCACUGCAGCGCAGCCCGGGCAGGGACCCGGUGUCCCUCCGCCUGCUUGGGGCACCGGGGCUGGCAGUGCUCCACAGGCAGUGUGGGAGGGACGGUGCUCAGGGCAUCCCUGCAGUGCCAGGUGGGCGGUGCCUCAGUUCCUCGCAGUGCGAGGCUGGCAGUGCCACAGUGCUGGCAGUGCAGUGAGGGCAGUGCUGCUCUGUCCCUGCCACGGCCCUGCCCCGCGGCCCUGCAGUGCUGGAGGGGUGACAGCCCUACAUCUCCGCAGCACCCCAUGGCCCUGCAGCGCCCUGCAGCCCCGCAGUGCUGGAUGGGUGGCAUCCCUGGAUCGUGUUCCUGCAGUGCUGGAUGGGCGGCAGUCCUGCAUUCCUGCAGUGUCCUGUGUUCCCGAAGUGAUGGCUGCUACUGUUCCUGCAGUGCAGGCAGUGAUGGAUGGCAGGGAGAUGUGGGCUGACAGUGCCCCGUGUCCCUGCAGUGCUGGGUGCAUGGCAGCCCAGCAUCCCUGCAGCGAUCCACGGCUCUCCAUGCCUACAUGGGUGGCAGCCCUGCAUUCCUGCAGUGCCCUGUGUCCCUCAUCCCUGCAUCUGUGCAGUGUCCCACAUCCCUGCCGUGCUGGAUUGGUGUCAGCCCCACAUCCCUGCAGUGCCAGGUGGGUGUCAGCCCCACGUCCCUGCAGAACAGGCAGAGGUCCCCGUUUGGUGCUCCCGUUCCUGCAGUGCUGGCAGCUGCGUGCAGUGCCCUUGUGUCCCUACCGUGUGUGGCAGGCAGUGCCCCUGCACUGGUGGCACACAAUGCUCCAGUGUUUGGGUGGUGAGAAGCUGUCUCAGAGUCUGGCCGGCUCCCAUCGGGUUGUUGGCAGCAGGCUGCCUGCAGUCCACCCUGUUACUGUGCCUCGUUGGGUCUAAUUACAGUUGGUGUGGUGACGAAGAGGGUGGACAGUGGCAGGAGUGGCUUCCUGCAAGUGACAGGGCUGAGGUUUCAAUGACAGGGUUACUCACUCCAGCAGGGCGUUGCAGGAACCUUACAAGCUGGGACGGGUCCUUCGGGGCACUGGAGGCUGCCAGGAGCCAGCCCCAGCAGCCCCUUCCCUUCGGGAGCCGUGCCAGGACCAUGUACAGUACCACAUGGCGCAGUGGGAUAAGCCAGGGAAGUGGGCCG
rnacentral:lncRNA from 1 species